rnacentral:misc_RNA from 1 species
GUGAACAGUAGCGAGAGCGGGAGAGCCUAGUCUUGUAUACUUGUACGCUGGGAACUGUGCGUGCUCACAGAGUGUUGUAAAACUCAAUGGGUGCAGUUUGAAGUGGUAGCUUUAUUGAGGACUGUGUUGGAAUAGCAGCCAGAUCAGUAUUAUAUCAGACCAGGAUUAACCAUUAUUUCACCUGCUUCCUGUUAUUGUGUCAAAUUAGACCCAGGAGAACUGUUCCGGAGUCCCUAAUGAGACUGUUCGAGCAUGGAAAAAUGAUCACUGCCAAAACUACAGUGUCUUGGCGUCCAAGCUUGAUUGGACGAUGGAUUAAUAACAGUAAGAAUCAGCUCUCGUUUCUCUGAGGAUGUAUGUGUUGGACAUGUGGUCUUCAUCAGCCAGAUUCAAGAUUUGUAGAUAACCACAGUGUGACUGACAGCAUUUGAAUGAAAGCGACAGACAUAAUGAUCAACAACUUGCAACAUUCUUGACAGCUUUUCUACAUUACAUUUGAAGAUAUUCACCUCAAGUUAAAUCACAAAGCAGCAAGAUGGUUUCCAUGGCAACACUUAUUCCACUUGCUUUUCUACUUCCUGUCUUGUGCCCAGCUCAAGAGGUGGUUCUGUCGUACAGACUCAAGGAGGAGCAAUCAGCAAACACCUUUGUCGGUAAUGUGGCCCGAGACAGUUAUUUGUAUGGCAAUGUUACUGAGAGUGUAUUUCAGAGGCUAAAAUUCAACUUCUUCUCUCAGGGAAACCCAUCUUCCAGACUUUUUGAAAUUGACGAAAAGAGCAGUACAAUUCGGACGGCACAAGUGAUUGACCGGGAAGCACCUGAUGUCUGCGAGGGCAAGGCAGAGUGUAUUCUGAACCUAGACAUUGCUGUGUACAUCCGAGACGUGUCAAAAAAUAGGUAUGACCUCUAUAAACUGAUGCAGGCAAAGGUUGAUUUAGUGGAUAUUAACGACAACAAACCUGAAUUUCCCCAGGGUUCCGUCAGUCUCAGCUUACCCGAAUCGGUUCCGGUUAAUCAUAUGUUAUUGGCAAGUGGUGCGAUUGAUAAGGAUACUGGAGCCAAUAAUUCAAUUAAGAGUUAUGAAAUUAUUCCUGUAAAUGGGAUGUUUGAUCUCAAGGUACAACAUAAUUUCGGAACGUCUGAUCUUGGAAUUGUCGUUAAACAUAGUCUAGACCGUGAGACCAAAGACUUCUUUCAAGUGACCAUUGUAGCUAAAGAUGGAGGGUACCCUCAGCGGACUGGAUCAGUGUUGAUUAAUAUUACCGUCACCGACGUCAACGACAACAGCCCAGCGUUUAUCGAGUCAACUUAUAACGUGACUGUCAUCGAAAACGGCACUGUCAAUGCCACAAUUCUCCAACUGUCUGCAGUUGACCAGGACAAAGGAGCAAAUGGCGAAAUUUCAUAUCAUUUGAGUUCGCGGGCCUCUGACAAAGUUCGUAAAGCCCUCGCUAUUGACCCCGCUUCCGGUAAGGUGUACACAAUAGGCGAUAUUGAUUAUGAAGAGAACAAGCAAUUCCAGUUCAUGGUUGAGGCCAGGGAUAAAGGAUCACCAUCUCGGUCCUCGUUAGUUCCUGUUGUUAUUAAUGUUAUUGAUAAAAAUGAUAACAAACCAGAAAUAAACAUUAACUUGUCCCCAGAAGGAUCCGAUAUUUCGGAAGGAGCAGAAACAGGCAGGUUUAUAGCUCAUGUGUCUGUUACUGAUAGAGAUGAUGGCAAAAAUGGAGAUUUUACGUGCGAUAUGAAUGAUGCCCACUUUUCUCUUGAUAAAUUUAACGCAAAUGUGAAUAAUGUGUACAAGAUAAGCCUGAAAGAAAAACUGGACCAUGAAAGCUCCCCAACGCAUAAUGUCACCAUCACCUGUAAAGACAAGGGAGAUAACCCUCAGACAAACUCAACUAGCUUCCUGGUGAGAGUUCUUGAUGAAAAUGACAAUGCACCCAUGUUUAAUAAUGUACCAAUUAUUGGGCAAAUUGUGGAAAAUAACAAGCUUGGUAUGGAGAUUCUGCAAAUAACUGCUAAAGACUGGGACAGCAAGGAGAACGGGAGAGUGACAUAUUCUUUAGACAGUGACGCUGGGUCCAUGUUCACAAUUAACCCUGGGACUGGUUCUUUGCUCGCCACUGCACCAUACGAUAGAGAAACUGUGUCAAAAUAUGAAUUUGGUGUGAUAGCCACUGAUCAUGGUUCCCCUCCCAAAUCAUCAACAGCCAAAGUCCUGAUUCGGAUUCUGGAUCAGAAUGACAAGCCUCCCAGGUUUACUGUACCAGUGUUCCGAGGAUAUAUUCUGGAGAAUCAGCCGAUCAGAACACCAGUUCUGAAUCUGACUGCCACGGAUGAGGAUGAGAAACCUAAUAUGAAGUUUGCAUUUGCGCCAAACUCGGAUGUGAAUAAAUGGUUUGCUAUUGACGAAAACAGUGGAAGAAUCACAAGCAAGCGUUCAUUCGAUCGGGAAACUCAGAAAAAGUAUAACUUCACUGUGAUUGUUCAAGAUCCCAUGAUAACCAGUUUUCAUGAUACAGCUCAUGUAACGAUUCAUGUUCGAGAUGACAAUGACAACAUCCCGAUCAUCACAUACCCCACCAAGUCGAACAAGACUGUGCGUAUUCCCUAUGGAACAAAGGUGGGAACGAUUGUCACUAAAGUAACUGCCAAAGACACAGAUGACAUCGACAUCCAAUUCAUAAGAUUAACCUUUUCAAUCAUAUCUGGCAACAAAGGAAGUUUGUUUAAUAUAAACCAAAUGAAUGGUGAAUUGGCAGUUUCUCGUGUGAUGAAAUUGUCAGAUUUAGGAUUUCACGGACUAAAGGUUGCUGUUCAUGACAGUGGCACAAAUUCCAAGUCGGCCACUGCAACCUUGGACAUCUUUGUCGUCGAUGUCAACGGCACGGCUAGGAAUGAUGGUCAUUCUGAAGUACUUGAAAAAAAUAUGAUGAUUGUGAUUAUAUUGAUAGCAGUGACAGUUAUAUUAGCAAUUGCAAUUUUUGCAACAAUAUGCAUGAUUCGCAGAAUUGACAGAGAGCGCCAGCAAAGACGAUCAGCUAUGAUCAAAACAGAUGAGGACAAAACAUUAACAGCAAUAUCAAACAGAGACAGUUUUUUAGUCAUAGCCAAAGACUCAAAUGAGAAUGAUGACGCAAAGUUAAAACGGAAUAAAAAAGAAGUUAGUUUUACAUUUGAGGAUGAUCGAGAUAUACACAACAUGAGCAAUUCCUCUGGCCAUGCGUCGAUGUCAACAUUUGGAGUUCCAGCACCGACAGAACAUUCCCAAUCGAAUUCUCAGGAGGUGAAUCUCAUGAUGACCCCUAUCCCUUCACUGGUUGAGAAACAAAACAACAUGAACAGCCCUGGUGCUCACGAACCUUCUAACAUUCCAGUACAAAACAAUAUCCCGGUGACGCCACACCCUACUGAUAAAACCUGGAUACAAAAUAUGAAUGAAACUGAGGCUCGGCAUUUAAUGGAGAUAUUAAAGAAACCAGACGAUAUUAUGAGUGAAACUUCAGGGGAGACCGGCACUAGUGACAGUGGUCGCGGUGGAAGCGAUGAAGAUAUAAACAGCAAUAGAAGUGCUACACAUGAUAUAGCAAAAAAUACGGUGGAAUCUGCCCCAUCAAAACCAAUGGUAGUCAAACAGUGGUAUGUAUAGCCCUCCAACAUGGGCUGCUGCCAUAAGCAUGUUCCUGAUUAUCUUUGAUUGAUGAUCCUCGUAUUCUUCAUCCAGCUCACUUCGUUGGAGCCGAUCGUAUCUCACGAUUUAACGAUGGCCGCAUGUCCGAGUUGUCCCGGUCAUCUCGCAGAAACGGAUCACGUGGU